rnacentral:rRNA from 1 species
UCUGAAUUUAAGCAUAUUAAUUAGNGNAGGAAAAGAAACCAACAGGGAUUCCCCUAGUAAUGGCGAAUGAACCGGGAAGAGCCCAGCGCAUAACCUCGUGUCAUUAAAAGGCACGAGGGGUGUUGCGUUUCGGAGGGUCUAGCACGCCGUCCCUUACCACCUAAGUCAUGCUUGAAAGCAGCCAUUACCCAUGGAGGGUGAUAGGCCCGUGUGGUGGCGCCCGUGAGGGUAUAAAGGGGACGGUCGGAAAGGACCUCUCUGUAGAGUCGGGUUGCUUGAUACCGCAGCCCAAAGCAGGUGGUAAC